CAGCAUGGUCUUAGCUUGCUAAGGCCGAUGGCGACCGGCGCACGGGUGAGUAACACGUAUCCAACCUGCCGUCUACUCUUGGACAGCCUUCUGAAAGGAAGAUUAAUACAAGAUGGCAUCAUGAGUCCGCAUGUUCACAUGAUUAAAGGUAUUCCGGUAGACGAUGGGGAUGCGUUCCAUUAGAUAGUAGGCGGGGUAACGGCCCACCUAGUCUUCGAUGGAUAGGGGUUCUGAGAGGAAGGUCCCCCACAUUGGAACUGAGACACGGUCCAAACUCCUACGGGAGGCAGCAGUGAGGAAUAUUGGUCAAUGGGCGAGAGCCUGAACCAGCCAAGUAGCGUGAAGGAUGACUGCCCUAUGGGUUGUAAACUUCUUUUAUAAAGGAAUAAAGUCGGGUAUGUAUACCCGUUUGCAUGUACUUUAUGAAUAAGGAUCGGCUAACUCCGUGCCAGCAGCCGCGGUAAUACCGGAGGAUCCCGAGCGUUAUCCGGAUUUAUUGGGUUUAAAGGGAGCGUAGAUGGAUGUUUAAGUCAGUUGUGAAAGUUUGCGGCUCAACCGUAAAAUUGCAGUUGAUACUGGAUAUCUUGAGUGCAGUUG
rnacentral:rRNA from 1 species